GUUGGUAGAUAAGUAUGUAUGUGUGUGUGUGUGUGUGUGUGUAUAUAUAUAUAUAUAUAUAUACACACACACACACACACACAGAAAGAGAUGAUAGA
rnacentral:miRNA from 1 species